AAAGGAAAGACAAAAAUCUAAUUAUAAUAUUGUUUAGUGCAUUAUUUCAUUUUAUUAUCAACAUCUUUGAGUACAAAUCCACAAUUGCAGGGUCUGUAAAAUUACAAAAUAAAAAAUACAAUUAUUGUGCCUGAUACUCCUGCUUUGUUGCAUGGAAUUUGUGUAAUUUCAUGUCUAAUACUCAUUCAAUAAGUGGCACGGGCACCAAUGGCACAGACUCUAAUAGAAAAAGUUCACAUCGGUAGUUAAUGCAUUCAUAAAGAAAAGUUUUCUCGUCGGGAACUUUUGGACAAUCAUAACUGUCUAAACAUUUAAAAUAUGCUGCAAUAAAAAAGAAAAUAUUCUUACUAAAAAAAUAAACGAUUAAUUGUAUACAAACUACAAUGUAAGAGUGGAAAACUGACUUACCCACAACCUCCUUCGCAAUAAGAAAUAGGGAAAGAAAUAAAAUCCAAGUAUAAACAUGCUUCAGAGUUUUAGCCAUAUUUUUUUUUAUCACUUUAUUAUAGCUAAUAAAGCUCUCGUGAAUUGCUAAAAACAAUUAAUUAUAUUUAUCGCUUUAACUCGGUUAAUAAAGGGGUAACAUAAAAAUCUUACUAAUAGUAUUUAGGAAUAAAAUUCUUUUAAUCAACUUUUCAACCUUUCGUGAUAGCAAGGAAAAAUAUAUAAUUUUAAAAUUAAUAAACCAUGA
rnacentral:lncRNA from 1 species